UUUGCUUUGCUGCAGGAGAAACACCGUGCUUUCCAACGAUCGACUCUAGAACUGCCUCGGAAAGUAGUUUGUUUUCUAUCACCACGUUUGCAGCUUCAGGUACGGAUGCAUCUCUAGAGAAGCUAAUCUGUGGCGAAAGCGAGAGAGAAUGAUGUCAAAAAUCCGAUGUAAACUACAGAACUAACCAUCCAAAAGUAGGAUUACUAACCGUUAGUGAUCCUUUGGGAGAUUGUGUGAAAAGAAUGGAGGCGCCGGGUGGGAAAUUUUGAUCUUUGAAAACCUCAAGGAACAUUUCAAUGGCUUUGCCUUCCGCAUCCGUGUAAAUUCCGACUAACUUCCAAAAGGCAAUGCAAUUCUCCGAAACUUUCUCAGAGUAUUGCUGGCCUGUCAGUGGCAGUAUCGUUGUCACUUGAAUGAAUUUCUCAAAUGGACCUACAAAAGGAUAGCAAAGAUCAUAAUCCGCGCUACAAAACCUCAGUCAUAUCUUUAGUAACUGUUUCUUAUGCCUCAAGUAAUCAUCAUAACCAGAACAUAGCACUACAUCUUGAGAGAAUCAUUCAUUCUAAUUGGCUAGUCAGGACUAAAUUACCACCAUAAGCACACAUAAAUUUACAAAUUAGAAUACAACUUGAAAAAUUUACAACAUUCAUCGACCGCGACAGAUGUAUAUCGGCCCCUGAGAGAACGGCGGGCUGUAGGAUUGCCUCAAUUUGGCAUGACUAACGAUCAUUCUAAAACGGCUCCACCUUAAGAUGCAAGGCAUGAGUAACAUCUACACUUUCAACAGCAUCAACGAGAUCACAAAUCAAUUUACCAAAAGAUACAGAAGGCAUCCAUUUGAAGAUUAAUAUGAUUAUAUUUUGAAUCUGACCGUUCAACCGGACUAUGAUAAAUAGAAGGGAAGAUACAUAUGAAACCAACUUAUCUUUAACAAGUCAUCCACUUGUAUGAACCUUUUUUAAUGUGAAAAUGUACUUAUGAAAAGGUACGGAUAAAGGGUCGAACAUAUAUAAGUUAGAUAAAAUUGUUAAAUAAAGAGUCGAACGUAUGUAUUCAUAGGGUCGAACAUCAAUGAAUUUUACUCCAAAAGAAGUCAGAGAAAAAAAAAGUGAAGAGUAAAAAGUUAAUUUAAACUCUAAAUUUGACUUGUUUCAUCUCUAAUACACUGAAAAAAAUUAGUUACGUAUAUGAAUAAUUUUUCCUUCUAUCUGGUAAGUUUAGCUAAAAUUGGGUUCACCAUAGCAUGCAAUUUUAUUUCUUUGCUAAUUAUAACACGACAAGGGAACAAAUUUGCAUUGGUAACUGGAAUUUACUGUCAAAAUUCAAACAGUUGUUAAAACAGCAAAGAAAUCCGUGGUACCUGUAACGAUGUCCCUGAAGAACUCAACGGACUCCGUCAACUCCUUGGCUGUCUUACCCUUCCACUUAACGGCGAGCUGAGGCACUGCGUUAUCCUCCAAGUACACUCCGAUUGCCGUGAACUUCACGAAGUUCCCCUGAAUCUCCAGCCCCCUCACCCCUGCGCAUGUUAGGAAGCAAAGUACCGUCAAUCAAAACUAAAAGCAACAAACAAUCAUAAUUACGGAUAUAAGAGCCGGACGUGCGAAGUUUACAAACCUGCGCCGCCGAGGAACAGAGUGUUGGGGGAGCCCGGAGGUUUGACGGACGGUGGAAACGCAGUCGUUUCGACCUGAAGUCCGGCGAGCGACGGUGGUGGAGCUAUUUGACAAUCUUUCUCAUUUCCAGCUUUGGCAUCAUUAGAUUCAUUACACCCGUUCAACAAUUCGGAUAACCUUCCGGCCAAACUUUGCUUUGCUGCAGGGGAAACACCGUGCUUUCCAACGAUCGACUCUAGAACUGCAUCGGAAAGUAGUUUGUUUUCUAUCACCGUGUUUGCAGCUUCAGGUACGGAUGCAUCUCUAGAGAAGCUAAUCUGUGGCGAAAGCGAGAGGGAAAGAUGUAAAAAAUCUGAUGUAAACUACAGAACUAACCAUCCAAAAGUAGGAUUACUAACCAUUAGUGAUCCUUUGGGAGAUUGCGUGAAAAGAAUGGAGGCGCCGGGUGGGAAGUUUUGAUCUUUGAAGACCUCAAGGAACUUUUCAAUGGCUUUGCCUUCUGCAUCAGUGUAAAUUCCGAUUGAUUUCCAAAAGGCAACGCAAUUCUCCGAAACUUUGUGAGAGUAUUGCUGGCCUGUCAGUGGCAGUAUCGUUGUCACUUGAAUGAAUUUCUCAAACGGA
rnacentral:lncRNA from 1 species